rnacentral:rRNA from 1 species
GAUGAACGCUGGCGGCGUGCCUAAUACAUGCAAGUCGAGCGAACAGACGAGGAGCUUGCUCCUCUGACGUUAGCGGCGGACGGGUGAGUAACACGUGGAUAACCUACCUAUAAGACUGGGAUAACUUCGGGAAACCGGAGCUAAUACCGGAUAAUAUAUUGAACCGCAUGGUUCAAUAGUGAAAGUCGGUUUUGCUGUCACUUAUAGAUUGAUCCGCGCCGCAUUAGCUAGUUGGUAAGGUAACGGCUUACCAAGGCAACGAUGCGUAGCCGACCUGAGAGGGUGAUCGGCCACACUGGAACUGAGACACGGUCCAGACUCCUACGGGAGGCAGCAGUAGGGAAUCUUCCGCAAUGGGCGAAAGCCUGACGGAGCAACGCCGCGUGAGUGAUGAAGGUCUUCGGAUCGUAAAACUCUGUUAUUAGGGAAGAACAAAUGUGUAAGUAACUAUGCACGUCUUGACGGUACCUAAUCAGAAAGCCCCGGCUAACUACGUG